GACAUGAAGUUAGGUCAGCAAACCCGCUGAACUUAAGCAUAUAAGUAAGCGGAGGAUAAGAAACUAAAUAGGAUUCCCUCAGUAAUGGCGAAUGAACAGGGAUAAGCUCAGCAUGGAAAUCGGUGUCUCUGGCAUUGAAUUGUAGUCUCGAGUUGUACUGCCAACGGAGGCGCAGAUGUAAGCCUCUUGGAAAAGAGCAUCAACGAGGAUGAGAGUCCCGUUUGUCAUCUGCAGUCCCCCGUGCACGGUGUACUUCUAAAGAGUCACGUUCCUCGGAAAUGGAGCGCAAAGUGGGUGGUAAAUUUCAUCUAAAGCUAAAUAUAGGUUCGAGACCGAUAGCAAACAAGUACCAUGAGGGAAAGGUGAAAAGGACUUUGAAAAGAGAGUUAAAAGUGCCUGAAAUUGCUGAAAGGGAAGCGAAUGGAACCAGUGCUUCUUGGCAAGAUUGGUGCGUGCUAAUGUGAUUGCCUGCUGCUUCAGCGCAAGCGUGGUAGUGGGUUUUGAUCAGGACGUGCGUGUUGUUUCUUGCCUUGUGUGUCAACGUCAGUUCUCGAUCGAGGAAAACGCCAGGGACAUGGUAGCUCGUCUUCGGGUGAGUGAAUGUGCUUGGUUGAACUCAUUUGUGAACUGGUUCUUGCGUGUCUGGUUGCAGUGCAUUGUGUCUUCACACCCCUGGGGUGGGUUUCGAUCUUCCGCAGGUGGGGUGGGCGACCGGUGCAUCUCCCUGACACAUCGACGCUGACUAAAUGGUUCUAUUCGACCCGUCUUGAAACACGGACCAAGGA
rnacentral:rRNA from 2 species